AAGUCGUAACAAGGUUUCCGUAGGUGAACCUGCGGAAGGAUCAUCAUCAAUUUCAUCAUAUCCCUUCCCCUCCAGGGUUUGGGAUCCAUGAUAAACCCUUCUGUGCACCGUAUCCGUUCACUUUGGCAGGCUUUGGUGCGGGGGGGGUGAGCAACCUCCUCCUCCCCCAACCUCUCGUUCUCCCUCCUCCACACGAGGAGGGGGGUUUACGCGUGGCGGCCUGCCGGAGUCCUACAAUUACAAACGCGUUUUUUCGAAUUCGACUGAAAAUUAUCUCCUUUGAGAAAUCAAAGAAAACGAAAACAACUUUCAACAACGGAUCUCUUGGCUCUC
rnacentral:misc_RNA from 1 species